UGCAAAUUUUAGAUGUAGACCUAGCCCUAGAGUGCCAGUGUGAUGCCAUCUGCACAGAGAAUGGCUGAAACCCUGUCUUGGGGCAACUGAUGGCCUGGGCUGCU